rnacentral:rRNA from 1 species
GAUGAACGCUGGCGGCGUGCCUAAUACAUGCAAGUCGAGCGAACGGACGAGAAGCUUGCUUCUCUGAUGUUAGCGGCGGACGGGUGAGUAACACGUGGAUAACCUCCCUAUAAGACUGGGAUAACUUCGGGAAACCGUAGCUAAUCCCGGAUAAUAUUUUGAACCGCAUGGUUCAAAAGUGAAAGACGGUCUUUCUGUCUCUUAUAGAUGGAUCCGAGCUGCAUUAGCUAGUUGGUAAGGUAACGGCUUACCAAGGCAACGAUGCAUAGCCGACCUGAGAGGGGGAUCGGCCACACGGGAACUGAGACACGGUCCAGACUCCUACGGGAGGCAGCAGUAGGGAAUCUUCCGCAAUGGGCGGAAGCCUGACGGAGCAACGCCGCGUGAGUGAUGAAGGUCUUCGGAUCGUAAAACUCUGUUAUUAGGGAAGAACAUAUGUGUAAGUAACUGUGCACAUCUUGACGGUACCUAAUCAGAAAGCCACGGCUAACUACGUG